rnacentral:rRNA from 1 species
UNUGGCUUAACUGGGGGCUUGCGGUGGGUACGGGCCGGCUUGAGUGCGGUAGGGGAGACUGGAACUCCUGGUGUAGCGGUGGAAUGCGCAGAUAUCAGGAAGAACACCGGUGGCGAAGGCGGGUNUCUGGGCCGUUACUGACGCUGAGGAGCGAAAGCGUGGGGAGCGAACAGGAUUAGAUACCCUGGUAGUNCACGCCGUAAACGUUGGGCACUAGGUGUGGGGGGCCUUUUCCGGGUCUUCCGCGCCGUAGCUAACGCAUUAAGUGCCCCGCCUGGGGAGUACGGCCGCAAGGCUAAAACUCAAAGGAAUUGACGGGGGCCCGCACAAGCGGCGGAGCAUGCGGAUUAAUUCGAUGCAACGCGAAGAACCUUACCAAGGCUUGACAUGUGCCGGUCGGCUCCGGAGACGGGGCUUCCUCCUUGUGGGGCCGGUUCACAGGUGGUGCAUGGUUGUCGUCAGCUCGUGUCGUGAGAUGUUGGGUUAAGUCCCGCAACGAGCGCAACCCUUGUCCCGCGUUGCCAGCACGUUGUGGUGGGGACUCGCGGGAGACUGCCGGGGUCAACUCGGAGGAAGGUGGGGAUGGCGUCAAAUCAUCAUGCCCCUUAUGUCUUGGGCUUCACGCAUGCUACAAUGGCCGGUACAGAGGGCUGCGAUACCGUGAGGUGGAGCGAAUCCCUUAAAGCCGGUCUCAGUUCGGAUCGGUGUCUGCAACUCGACACCGUGAAGUUGGAGUCGCUAGUAAUCGCAGAUCAGCAACGCUGCGGUGAAUACGUUCUCGGGCCUUGUACACACCGCCCGUCACGUCAUGAAAGUUGGUAACACCCGAAGCCCAUGGCCUA